AAAGUACUCCCUCCAUCCCAAAAUUCUUGUCUUAGAUUUGUCUAGAUACGGAUGUAUCAAGUCACAUUUUAGUAUUAGAUACAUCCGUAUCUAGACAAUGUAUCAAGUCACAUUUUAGUAUUAGAUACAUCCGUAUCUAGACAAAUCUAAGACAAGAAAUUUGGGACAAAGGGAGUAGUUG
rfam:Triticum aestivum genome assembly, contig: Triticum_aestivum_CS42_TGACv1_scaffold_320404_4BL